GAAAUGCGAUAAGUAAUGUGAAUUGCAGAAUUCAGUGAAUCAUCGAAUCUUUGAACGCACCUUGCGCUCCUUGGUAUUCCGAGGAGCAUGCCUGUUUGAGUGUCAUGGAAUUCUCAACUCUAUUUGCUUUUGUGAAUAGAGCUUGGAUUUGGAGGUUUAUUGCUGGUACUUGUGAUCGGCUCCUCUUGAAUGCAUUAGCUCGAACCUUUGCGGAUCAGCUAUCGGUGUGAUAAUUGUCUACGCCGUUGCAGUGAAGCAUAUCAAUGGGCUCGGCUUCCAAUCGUCCUUUACUGGACAAUGACUUGGACCUUUGACCUCAAAUCAGGUAGGAUUACCCGCUGAACUUAAGC
rnacentral:misc_RNA from 1 species